rnacentral:rRNA from 1 species
CUCAACUCCGGGAUUGCCAUUGAAACUGUUUCACUUGAGUGUAGUCGAGGACGGCGGAAUGAGUUGUGUAGCGGUGAAAUGCAUAGAUAUAACUCAGAACACCGAUUGCGAAGGCAGCUGUCCAGACUAUAACUGACGCUGAGGCACGAAAGCGUGGGGAGCGAACAGGAUUAGAUACCCUGGUAGUCCACGCUGUAAACGAUGAUCACUCGUUGUUGGCUACAAGGUAGUCAGUGACUAAGGGAAACCGUUAAGUGAUCCACCUGGGGAGUACGUCGGCAACGAUGAAACUCAAAGGAAUUGACGGGGGCCCGCACAAGCGGAGGAACAUGUGGUUUAAUUCGAUGAUACGCGAGGAACCUUACCUGGGCUUAAAUGCAGGCUGCAUUCCCGUGAAAGCGGGAUUUCCUACGGGACUG